rnacentral:rRNA from 1 species
CAAGCGAACAAGUGCAUGUGGUGGAUGCCUUGGCGAUCACAGGCGAUGAAGGACGCGGUAGCCUGCGAAAAGCUACGGGGAGCUGGCAAACGAGCUUUGAUCCGUAGAUGUCCGAAUGGGGAAACCCACUCCUUAUGGAGUAUCCAUGGCUGAAUACAUAGGCCAUGUGAAGCGAACGCGGUGAACUGAAACAUCUAAGUAACCGCAGGAAAAGAAAUCAACCGAGAUUCCCAAAGUAGUGGCGAGCGAAAUGGGAUGAGCCUUGCACUCUUUAUUUGUAUUGUUAGCCGAACGCUCUGGAAAGUGCGGCCAUAGCAGGUGAUAGCCCUGUAGGCGAAAACAGUAUGAAAGAACUAGGUGUGCGACAAGUAGGGCGGGACACGUGAAAUCCUGUCUGAAGAUGGGGGGACCAUCCUCCAAGGCUAAAUACUCGUGAUCGACCGAUAGUGAACCAGUACCGUGAGGGAAAGGCGAAAAGAACCCCGGGAGGGGAGUGAAAUAGAUCCUGAAACCGCAUGCAUACAAACAGUCGGAGCCUCGUAAGGGGUGACGGCGUACCUUUUGUAUAAUGGGUCAGCGACUUACGUUCAGUAGCAAGCUUAACCGUAUAGGGCAGGCGUAGCGAAAGCGAGUCCGAAUAGGGCGUUCAGUUGCUGGGCGUAGACCCGAAACCAGGUGAUCUAUCCAUGGCCAGGAUGAAGGUGCGGUAACACGUACUGGAGGUCCGAACCCACUAACGUUGAAAAGUUAGGGGAUGAGCUGUGGAUAGGGGUGAAAGGCUAAACAAACCUGGAAAUAGCUGGUUCUCUCCGAAAACUAUUUAGGUAGUGCCUCGUGUCUCACCUUCGGGGGUAGAGCACUGUCAUGGUUGGGGGGUCUAUUGCAGAUUACCCCGCCAUAGCAAACUCCGAAUACCGAAGAGUGCAAUCACGGGAGACAGACAUCGGGUGCUAACGUCCGGUGUCAAGAGGGAAACAACCCAGACCGCCAGCUAAGGUCCCCAAAUAUGGCUAAGUGGGAAACGAAGUGGGAAGGCUAAAACAGUCAGGAGGUUGGCUUAGAAGCAGCCACCCUUUAAAGAAAGCGUAAUAGCUCACUGAUCGAGUCGUCCUGCGCGGAAGAUGUAACGGGGCUAAGCCAUAUACCGAAGCUGCGGAUGCGAGCUAGUCUCGCAUGGUAGGAGAGCGUUCCGUAAGCCUGCGAAGGUGCCUUGUAAAGGGUGCUGGAGGUAUCGGAAGUGCGAAUGCUGACAUGAGUAGCGAUAAAGGGGGUGAAAGGCCCCCUCGCCGUAAGCCCAAGGUUUCCUACGCAACGUUCAUCGGCGUAGGGUGAGUCGGCCCCUAAGGCGAGGCAGAAAUGCGUAGCUGAUGGGAAGCAGGUCAAUAUUCCUGCACCGUCGUUAGAUGCGAUGGGGGGACGGAUCGCGGAAGGUUGUCCGGGUGUUGGAAGUCCCGGUCGCUGCAUUGGAGAAGGCGCUUAGGCAAAUCCGGGCGCAGGAUUCAAGGGUGUGGCGCGAGCUCCCUCGGGAGCGAAGCAAUUGGAAGUGGUUCCAAGAAAAGCCUCUAAGCUUCAGUCUAACGAUGACCGUACCGCAAACCGACACAGGUGGGCGAGAUGAGUAUUCUAAGGCGCUUGAGAGAACUCGGGAGAAGGAACUCGGCAAAUUGGUACCGUAACUUCGGGAUAAGGUACGCCCUUGUAGCUUGACUGGCCUGCGCCAGGAGGGUGAAGGGGUUGCAAUAAACUGGUGGCUGCGACUGUUUAAUAAAAACACAGCACUCUGCAAACACGAAAGUGGACGUAUAGGGUGUGACGCCUGCCCGGUGCCGGAAGAUUAAAUGAUGGGGUGCAAGCUCUUGAUUGAAGUCCCGGUAAACGGCGGCCGUAACUAUAACGGUCCUAAGGUAGCGAAAUUCCUUGUCGGGUAAGUUCCGACCUGCACGAAUGGCGUAACGAUGGCCACACUGUCUCCUCCCGAGACUCAGCGAAGUUGAAGUGUUUGUGAUGAUGCAAUCUACCCGCGGCUAGACGGAAAGACCCCAUGAACCUUUACUGUAGCUUUGCAUUGGACUUUGAACCGAUCUGUGUAGGAUAGGUGGGAGGCUAUGAAACCGGAACGCCAGUUUCGGUGGAGCCGUCCUUGAAAUACCACCCUGGUUUGUUUGAGGUUCUAACCUUGGCCCGUGAUCCGGGUCGGGGACAGUGCAUGGUAGGCAGUUUGACUGGGGCGGUCUCCUCCCAAAGCGUAACGGAGGAGUACGAAGGUACGCUAGGUACGGUCGGAAAUCGUGCUGAUAGUGCAAUGGCAUAAGCGUGCUUAACUGCGAGACCGACAAGUCGAGCAGGUGCGAAAGCAGGUCAUAGUGAUCCGGUGGUUCUGUAUGGAAGGGCCAUCGCUCAACGGAUAAAAGGUACUCUGGGGAUAACAGGCUGAUACCGCCCAAGAGUUCAUAUCGACGGCGGUGUUUGGCACCUCGAUGUCGGCUCAUCUCAUCCUGGGGCUGUAGCCGGUCCCAAGGGUAUGGCUGUUCGCCAUUUAAAGAGGUACGUGAGCUGGGUUUAAAACGUCGUGAGACAGUUUGGUCCCUAUCUGCCGUGGGCGUUGGAUAUUUGAAGGGGGCUGCUCCUAGUACGAGAGGACCGGAGUGGACGAACCUCUGGUGUACCGGUUGUGACGCCAGUCGCAUCGCCGGGUAGCUAUGUUCGGAAGAGAUAACCGCUGAAAGCAUCUAAGCGGGAAACUCGCCUUAAGAUGAGAUAUCCCUGGGGACUUGAUCCCCUUGAAGGGUCGUUCGAGACCAGGACGUUGAUAGGUCGGGUGUGUAAGCGCAGUAAUGCGUUCAGCUAACCGAUACUAAUUGCCCGUAAGGCUUGAUCC